rnacentral:piRNA from 1 species
UCCGACGUUAUGAGGCUGAAGCAGUUGU